ACACAUACACAUGAACUGAUGACAAACUUGCACACGACCUGACAAACAGGAAAAUACAUUAAUAGACAAAAAGAAUGCAAUACACAUGAAUUGAUAAUCCCCAUGGCUAAUGGCAGAGCUUUUUCGCAUCUAGGUUCACCCGUUUACUGAAAGUAGAACUUCUCAGUUUGGGAUGAUGUUUAAAUGUUCACCAUUUUGGCCUACAUCAGAAUACUGAGAACAAAACAAUAUUUGCUUAUUAAAGCAUAACACACAACACCUCUUGUGCUAUAGGAGAACACAUAAACAAAGGGGAAAUUGGACAUAGAAUCGCCAAGUAGGUGAACUGAAAAGCACACAUAACAUGUACUGAAAAAGAACACAACAUCCUUAGUGUUGCGUCGACCACAUGUGGCAAAGGUGAACGGCUUGCGGUGGUAGAGGUGAACAUCCUGAUCCCAGCAUCGUCGCAUGACCUUGUGUGGUGGAAGUGAAUGGCUUGUGGUGGCAAGGGUGAACGGCUUGAGUGUUGCGUCAUCGAACGACCUUGUAUGGAAGCAGCGAACGGCCUGGGCCUUGAAGGUUCAAGCAGUGGUGUUGAGAGGCUGUGUGGGACUGUAUUUGUAGUGUCUGAAUAAGUUCAGUAGCUGCUCACCAUGCACACCUACUCAACUGCUUCAUGCCACCGUCCCUGCACACACACAACAGCCACCAAUUAGCAUGCACAAGUUCAUGUAAAAAGAACAACAAUUUCAUGUACAGUAAUAUUACAUGUUCACAACGAAACCUAAAAAUAUGUGUACUUUGAAAUACUUCAUUUUACUUCCCAAAUACUUCAUUUGUUUUUGAAAUAUGAACUUUUAUAUUUAUUUCCGUAGAACUUAUUAUGUUUUCCCUCCAAACUACAAGAACAUGAUUGGUUUGCUUACCCAAAAAAUAUUUUAUUCAAAUACUUUUCUGUUCUUAUAAGCGAACUGAUGGAAAUCUUGACGGUGCACUUCGGUAUUUUAUUCCAGGUGCACUGAUGUAAUUACAAAGUUAACUCAGUGUGUUCCUUUUUGCAUAGUGAACCUAUGUAGACUCUAUACAAUGUAAAAUGGACAUUGUUGUGAUUACCUACAUGGCUGAACUAGUUAAUAUAUUUGCUUUUUCGUUGUGUAUUUCUGUUUAAUUAGACAAAUGGUUUGAUUAGUGGUAUUACCACCACAAUUUUCACUAUAUAUACAUUAUUGAUCUGAACGCGACAAUAAGAAUAGGCUGCCGAUUUUUUCUGUAAAGUCGCAUGCCGAAAAUGUAGAGAUUAGGGAAGUACCAGGACACAAACUAAUUUAUUUAGGAAGUAAUUAGAAUAAAGAGAUUUUUAGGAGUACUUAGGGAGUGAAUGCAAGCUUAUUUAGAACAUGCUAUCAAGAAUUCAGCGAGGGGAAUGGAUGUUCUUCAAGAGAAUUCAGGGAAGAGAGCGAGGAGAAACCUUGGCGGCAGCAAUCUGAAGUUGCGGCGACAAAUAUGACAAUGGCCUUGACCUCAUCGGAGCAUAGGGACUAGGCCAACGAACUCAUGGCAUUGUAUGUAGAAAAAGACAUAUUGUGAGUUGCUAUCUAUUGCUAAUGGUACGAUGCUGCUAUUGCUCUGUGUCAUGUUAUGCAAGUUGACACCGAGUACACGUUGGAUGAUAUACUUAGACAGUAAAGAGCUAAAAAUGAUUUCUUCUAGUUUAGGUAAACGGAGAUGCCAACUUUCUCCAUUUAGUUACUUCUAGCUCCCAGCAAAAUUCGUAAAAUGGAAGGCAGAUAGGUCUAGCUACUCUAUUAUGAAGCUCAC
rnacentral:lncRNA from 1 species